rnacentral:rRNA from 1 species
CCCUUAGAUGUUCUGGGCUGCACGCGCGCUACACUGAUGCGCUCAACGAGUUUUAACCUUGCCUGGAAAGGUUGGGUAAUCUUUUUAAAACGCAUCGUGAUGGGGAUAGAUUAUUGCAAUUAUUAAUCUUCAACGAGGAAUUCCUAGUAAGCGCGAGUCAUCAGCUCGUGCUGAUUACGUCCCUGCCCUUUGUACACACCGCCCGUCGCUCCUACCGAUUGAAUGGUCCGGUGAAAUCUCCGGACUGGCGUGAGUCGGAGCAAUCUGACAAACACCGGAAAGUUGAUUAAACCUUACCAUUUAGAGGAAGGUGAAGUCGUAACA